UACGUAGGGGGCAAGCGUUGUCCGGAUUCAUUGGGCGUAAAGAGCGUGUAGGCGGCCAGGUAGGUCGGUUGUGAAAACUGGAGGCUCAACCUUCAGAGGUCGACCGAAACCAUCUGGCUAGAGUCCGGGAGAGGAGAGUGGAAUUCCUGGUGUAGCGGUGAAAUGCGCAGAUAUCAGGAAGAACACCCGUGGCGAAGGCGGUUCUCUGGGACGGUACUGACGCUGAGACGCGAAAGCGUGGGGAGCGAACAGG
rnacentral:rRNA from 1 species